rnacentral:rRNA from 1 species
UACGGGUUGUGAGAGCAAGAGCCCGGAGAUGGAACCUGAGACAAGGUUCCAGGCCCUACGGGGUGCAGCAGGCGCGAAACCUCCGCAAUGUGAGAAAUCGCGAGCGGGGGAUCCCAAGUGCCAUUCUUAACGGGAUGGCUUUUCAUUAGUGUAAAGAGCUUUUGGAAUAAGGGCUGGGCAAGACCGGUGCCAGCCGCCGCGGUAACACCGGCAGCUCUAGUGGUAGCAGUUUUUAUUGGGCCUAAAGCGCUCGUAGCCGGUUUAAUAAGUCUCUGGUGAAAUCCUGUAGCUUAACUGUGGGAAUUGCUGGAGAUACUAUUAGACUUGAGACCGGGAGAGGUUAGAGGUACUCCCAGGGUAGAGGUGAAAUUCUGUAAUCCUGGGAGGACCGCCUGUUGCGAAGGCGUCUAACUGGAACGGUUCUGACGGUGAGGGACGAAAGUUAGGGGCGCGAACCGGAUUAGAUACCCGGGUAGUCCUAACUGUAAACGAUGCGGACUUGGUGUUGGGGUGGCUUUGAGCUGCUCCAGUGCCGAAGGGAAGCUGUUAAGUCCGCCGCCUGGGAAGUACGGUCGCAAGACUGAAACUUAAAGGAAUUGGCGGGGGAGCA